rnacentral:misc_RNA from 1 species
GUUUCAGGUGGGGAAAGGCGAAGGGUGUCUAUAGGAAUUGAUAUAAUUCACAAGCCAUCACUGCUGUUCCUUGAUGAACCCACCUCAGGUCUUGAUUCUACAAGUGCUUUUAGUGUGGUGGAAAAGGUGAAGGACAUAGCUAGGGGUGGCAGUAUUGUCUUGAUGACCAUCCACCAGCCUUCUUACAGGAUUCAAAUGCUCUUGGACCGCAUUACAAUUCUUGCAAGGGGAAAUCUGAUAUAUAUGGGAAGUCCAGGUGCUCUUCCUGCUCAUCUCUCAGGAUUUGGAAGGCCGGUUCCUGAUGGUGAAAACAGCCUGGAGUAUCUUCUUGAUGUAAUCAAAGAGUAUGAUGAGUCCACUAUUGGACUUGAGCCUCUUGUUCUUUACCAAAGAGAUGGAAUCAAACCGGAUCCAGUUGCCAGGGCGCCUAUUCCCAAGACAACAAAGACCCCAAAAACGCCAAGAACUCCAUAUAUGAAUACCCCUGGAUCCAAGCAUGCACUUAGCCUUCGGAGCCAAGCAUUUUCAAUUAAUGGAAAUAUGACAUCUAGAACUGACUCUGUACAAUUUGAUUUUGAUGAUGAUGACGAUAACUUUGGUAAUUCCCUUGAGCGUAGAACUAUGCCUACGCCAAUGCAUAAGCAAAGUGGUGUCUAUCAACCACGUUUGGCAUCACAGUUCUACAAAGAUUUUUCAGUCUGGCUCUACCAUGGUGUCAAGGGAACUCCCCGCCGUGCACCCUCUUGGACUCCCGCUAGAACUCCAGGAACGACUCCAGGAAAAUCGCAAAUUUCUGGAGCAAGAAGUCAAGUCUCAAGCCGGUAUGCAACCCCACAACAGAUCCCUUCUCGCC